UUUGUCUAUUAAUUGUAGACCCGUAUGAAAGGCAAAAUGAGAGCCCAACUGUCUCUUAUAAUAAAUCAAUUAAACUGAUCCCUCAGUACAAAAGCUGAGAUACCCCCAUAAGACCAGAAGACCCUGUGAAGCUUUAAUUACCCUAUUAAACCACAUAAUAGCUAAUUUCGGUUGGGGCGACCUUGGAACAAAAAAGAACUUCCAAAUAUACGGCUAAAACCGUCAAAAGGCACACAAGCCUCUAAUAGACCCAGGAUUCCUGACAAAUGAACCAAGUUACUCCAGGGAUAACAGCGCCCUCUUCUUCAAGAGCCCAUAUCAAAAAGAAGGUUUACGACCUCCAUGUUGGAUCAGGACAUCCUAGCAAUGCAACCGUUACUAAGGGUUCGUUUGUUCAACGAUUAACAGU
rnacentral:rRNA from 1 species